CUCGCCGCCGAGGCCGAGGUCACCGUUGAUCUCGUAUCUCGGGACGAGACGACAUGUGGCCGCCUCGCGGCUGAAUCGCAAC
rnacentral:ncRNA from 1 species